UACGUAGGGGGCGAGCGUUGUCCGGAAUUAUUGGGCGUAAAGAGCGUGUAGGCGGUCUGUCGCGUCUGCUGUGAAAAUCCGGGGCUCAACCCCGGACUUGCAGUGGGUACGGGCAGACUAGAGUGUGGUAGGGGAGACUGGAAUUCCUGGUGUAGCGGUGAAAUGCGCAGAUAUCAGGAGGAACACCGAUGGCGAAGGCAGGUCUCUGGGCCACUACUGACGCUGAGAAGCGAAAGCAUGGGGAGCGAACAGG
rnacentral:rRNA from 1 species